rnacentral:lncRNA from 1 species
CAAUGUGAUUGUGUGCCAUCAUGCCAUCUUCUUAAAGAAGAGUUUAUCUAAGAUGGAGGCAAUGGGAGAAAGAUUGAACUCAAAGUGAAAGUCUCUAAAGAGUAUCGAGUCUAGGAAUCUGAAUCCAAUAAUGAGCCAGUAGAUGUGAUACCUUUUCCACCUCAAAGAUCAAGUAGGGUCUUUCAUCCUCUUGAAAGGUACUUAGAUAUUCUUCCAGAGGAUUUAGAGGAAGCAUUCCUUGUGGG